UGCGCAUGCGUACUACAUAGGUUCCUGUCAUGAAAGUUUCGCCUGGGUAAACAAUCAAUCUCGUACUUAGGCACGUAUUUCUGUGACCUAGACCUUUACCUUUAUAAUCAUAACAGUCAUUUUCAAUACAUCAGUUAAACUUAAAAGAGAACACGCAGAAUUAGCUUACGGGUUUGUACUGGUAGCUGUUGCCAGUGACACAGCAGAAAAAUAACAAGACUAUAUAUAUAAGACACAAAUUAAUUCAAGCUCUCAUUUGUUGAAUGAAUCUGACGUUGAUCUGACCACCGAUUAGAUUACAAUAGUCACAAUACUUCACAAACCACAAAAGUAACAAAACCAGAAUCUAGACCUGCUCAUAUAACGAGUUACUGUUGCUACACUUCCGUACCUGCCUAACCUGUUGACUCGUAAAACAGCACUAGAUCUACAUUAAAAUGUGCAUGAAAGUUAAGUGCAGCAAAUGUGGCAAGUUCACAUGGCAAGGUUGUGGAGCUCAUGUUGAGCAAGUGAUGGCAGGAGUUCCUCCUGAAGAAAGGUGCCGCUGCCCCAGGGACAAAAAAUAAACUAUAGUAUUUGAUAUUACAUUCCGCAAGAUCUGUUUGAUAUGUAGACCAGCCCUUCUAGGUUAUGUUGACAUAGUGCAGUGAGGAUGCAGUUGGUUGUUUACCUGGGAGAAACUUUAAAAAAAAAAUCAGCUGCAACAUAAACAAAAAACCUCUCACAACUCAGGAAGUUUACAUUAUUUUAAAUUGUAUUGAUCUGUUUUUAUUUCAUCACUUUCUUUUGUAUUAAAUUAGUGAAAAGGUAUUAUGAUGCAGUUUUUUUUUUAUACAUUUGCCUUAUUUAUAAAAAAACUAAUCAGUGCCCAUAAAUUUGGAAAUGCCUUGCCAAGUUUGCAUCUCAGUCAUAUCUUUAUCUUUCAUACUUGUAUCACAAAUUUUCUUUGUUUGUAGUGACCAUAUUACCUGAUAAAACUGACAGCAACCUAAGAAAUUUACUUAAUAAAAAUGAGGAAAACUCUUUAUUCAGUAUAUCUAGUGUUAUUUAAAUGGCUACAUAUAAUUGAACAGUUUAAGUUGUAUUUGAAAUAUGGUGUGAAAUGAAAGCCUUGUUUUGUGUGAAUUUUGAAUCAAAUAUUUUAUCCACCUCCAUCGUAAAGUAAAAUAGUUGAAUCAACAAAAUAAAAAGGAAACAAAAAUUGUGUAUUAUUUUUAUAAACUGAUGUGUGAUAUGCUGUGCUUUUACAAUAUCAGAAUGCACUAUCAAUAAAAAUGUGUUGAAGUAUU